rnacentral:lncRNA from 1 species
GAUCUGAUCUUUGAUGAUAUGGAUGUUUUUCAAAUUAGAGUAAGUUGAUGAACAAAGGUUUUAUAAAUCAAUUUUAGAUCAUCUUAAUAUAAGGUUGUCCUGGCAUAACGAGGGUCGUUAUGUGAUAUAAUUUUCCUAGGAUGAAAAGAGAUUGAUACAUAAAACAUCAAAUGAAAUUAACAUAAACAUAAGGACUACGUAAUAGCCACAUAUGUAUUUUCAUUGAUAUAUGCAGGG